UUAUCCACAUUUCCUUUGUAAGGGACUCUCCCACUUGUAAAAUUUAGCUGCCAGCAAAAUUUACCCAGUGAGUCAUACAAUGUAGAUUUAAAGUGCAUAACACUAUUACUGCUGUUGCUAUUUGUGUAGUUCCUCUGUUGAUGAAAGUUUUUUGUGGCCUACUUAAAUGCUACAUAAAAUAUCCCAUGUUCUCUAUUCACCACAAAUGGGAGGCUGCAGCCACAACAGUCCAACACUUCAGAUAAUUGAGAGCAAAGAUGAGAGAUAAAAAACACACCAAUCUUAGCACUUUGAUGAAAGCUUUAAUACAAAAGAAUAGGACAAAUUGAGGACAUUAGAGUGUGAUGUAAAUUUAAUAGUCAGUGUAUGAUCUUAUACCCUGUGACAGACUGGCGACCUGUCCAGGGUGUGCUUAUCUCCAUAACGUUAGCUGGACAUAGGCAGCCCUCCUGACACCACUAAGGUACAAGGGUGUACAGAAAAUGAAUGGAUGGAGUGUCUGAUCUUACAGUUGAUGAAGAGUAAAAAAACAACUAAACAAAAUUAAUCCAUAAAUCCUAUUAGAAAAUCAUUAAAGUUU